rnacentral:rRNA from 1 species
UACGGAGGGAUCUAGCGUUGUUCGGAAUUACUGGGCGUAAAGCGCACGUAGGCGGCUAUUCAAGUCAGAGGUGAAAGCCCGGGGCUCAACCCCGGAACUGCCUUUGAAACUAGAUAGCUAGAAUCUUGGAGAGGUCAGUGGAAUUCCGAGUGUAGAGGUGAAAUUCGUAGAUAUUCGGAAGAACACCAGUGGCGAAGGCGACUGACUGGACAAGUAUUGACGCUGAGGUGCGAAAGCGUGGGGAGCAAACAGG